rnacentral:sRNA from 10 species
AUGUGUGUAGGAGUAAGCAGUAAAUUAAGUGGAAACAUGGAAACACUUAAUAUACUGCUUUUAAA